UUUCAGGCUGCCGAUAGCAAAUCCGGCGAAACGCGAAAAAUUUAUUUUCUGGCUUUGAAGCAGGGAACUUUUCAAGAAACUGACACCUGAGCUGCUCGCGCUUGUAGAGGGAUGAUGAUCAGUGCUGAGUUAAAAAUCCAGUGUUUUUUUUAAUACAGAUAUUAAGCACCGACUUUUGUUAUUUUCUGUAAACUAAAAGUGAACCACCCGUUUUCAUUCCUCACAACCUGCAAAGGUGCAUUUCUGAGCAGUUUCACUUGGAUGAAGGCACUUUCCAGUUGAUGCUUGGUACAAGUGUAUUGUGUUUCUCAGGGAGGCUUCACUGAUUCUUCUUUCUCAGGUCAGGUUUGGAUAAAGAUACCAACUGACUACUGAUUCUUGAAUAUAGUGGAUAUUCUACAUAUGUGUUUCCUUGAUUCUAAUGGGAAGGCACAAUAUAGGAUAGUGCAAGAAAGCACAUUUAUUGGUAUUGGCUGCUGGAAGUGCCCGACCUCCCGUGUUUGACUUGUGUGAGCCACAACGUAACCGGUAUCUGACUUGCAGAAGAGCUGUUUCACGAGGCCUUUCACCGGCUUUCCAAGGUGAAAAUAAAUUACUACUUCUGUCUGAAAGGACUUGCCCUGAUGAAGACUCUAACUCACAGAAAGUAUAGAUAAUUAGUUUUUAUACCCUACAAAUGCUUCUGGGAGGAGUGAGCCAUUUCAGAGUCAUGUACUGAGUAACUGGUAGAAGCCUGGAGAAUAUGUACUUCAUAGAGACUUUCUGACAUACCAUGAAACUCUUGGUUCAUGACAAACAUUGGGGUGUUUUCCUCGCACAUAAAAGUAAAUAUGUUUCUACUUCACACUGACU